UAAUCAAGUUUCAAAGACCAUAUAUAUACAUCAUGUAUAAUGUUUACAAGAAGUAAUAUUUGACAUCACCUUUAUGAGAAUCAAGUUUAGAAGACCACAUAUUAAGAUACAGGAAAUUUACAUUUAUUCUCGCUGUAAAGAGAAUCAAGUUUAGAAGACCUUAAUUAUUUACAUUAAGAUACAGGAAAUUUAUAUUUAAUCUUGCUGUUGAGAGAAUCUGCAACCUUAGAAGACCAUAUAUUUAUAUUAGAUACAGAAAAUUUAUAUUUUACCUCACUGUUAAGUAAUAUAUUGGAAUGAACUGGAGGGCCAAAUAGAGAACACAAACCUUGAAAAGUAUGACUUAACAGUGAAUGAAUUGAAAAAUGACAUAAGUGAAGGGACUUUAAAGAUUAUAUAUUGAUUUAAGAAAGAGACUAUAGUUUAUUUUAAUCAAACUUUUUAUAGUAAGUAAUAAAAAUGAAUAAGAGUUAUCUCUCUUUGCCAAGUCAAUUUUU